rnacentral:lncRNA from 1 species
AAGUUUGAUUCUAUAUGGGUGAUUGUUGAUAGGCUUACCAAAUCCGCACAUUUCCUACCAGUUAGGACCACUUACACAGUUGAAGAGUAUGCGAAGUUGUACAUUAAAGAGAUAGUCCGAUUACAUGGAGUGCCAAUUUCUAUUAUAUCAGAUCGGGGAACCCAAUUACCGCAAACUUUUGGAAGUCUUUUCAGAGGUGUUU